rnacentral:lncRNA from 1 species
UAAUUCCACACUUAUUUAAUAUUUAAAUUUAAAAUUUUAAAAUUUAUAAUUUGUAAUCUUAAAAUUACUAUUUAUAAUUUAUAAUUUAAAAAUUAAAAAAUUAAUUUUUAAAUUUGAUAUUUUAUAUUUAUAAAUUUAGAUUCGAUUUAAAAUUUAUAACUUUAAAUUUUUAAUUUUGAGAUUUAAAAAUUUAUAUUUAAAUUUUGAAAUUUUCUAUUUUUAAAGUUAUCCAUUUAAAUUUAAAUUUUAAAUAUAAAAUAAAAAAUAAAUUUAAAUAUAAUAACUGGAGCAGUAUCAUUAUUUUCUAUUUAUAACUAAUUAUUAUUCUUUUUAUUCUAUUUUAUCUAUCUAAAUAUUAUUAUUUUUAUUUAAAAAAUAAUUAUAUUUUUAUUUAAAUGUAAAAUUAAUCUAUUUUAGAUUUAUGCAUAAAUUUAUAUUUAUUUUGAAAAUAACUAAUUUUUACUUAAUCUCAAAAAAACGGAGCUAGAUUUUUCAAAAAGUAA